CGUGAACAGAGGGAUGCGAGGCGGCGACGCGGAGCGAACCCCAAAAAUAACGCCCCAGUUCGGAUUGCAGGCUGCAACCCGCCUGCAUGAAGCCGGAAUCGCUAGUAAUCGCGGAUCAGAAUGCCGCGGUGAAUACGUUCCCGGGUCUUGUACACACCGCCCGUCACACCAUGGGAGCCGGGAAUGCCCGAAGUCAGUGGCCCAACCGCGAGGGGGGAGCUGCCGAAGGCAGGCCCGGUGACUGGGGUGAAGUCGUAACAAGGUACC
rnacentral:rRNA from 1 species